UACGUAGGGGGCAAGCGUUAUCCGGAUUUAUUGGGCGUAAAGAGCGUGUAGGCGGCCAGACAGGUCCGUUGUGAAAACUCGAGGCUCAACCUCGAGAUGUCGAUGGAAACCGUCUGGCUAGAGUCCGGAAGAGGAGUGUGGAAUUCCUGGUGUAGCGGUGAAAUGCGCAGAUAUCAGGAAGAACACCUAUGGCGAAGGCAGCACUCUGGGACGGUACUGACGCUGAGACGCGAAAGCGUGGGGAGCGAACAGG
rnacentral:rRNA from 1 species